rnacentral:rRNA from 1 species
UACGUAGGGCGCAAGCAUUGUCCGGAAUUAUUGGGCGUAAAGAGCUCGUAGGCGGCUUGUCACGUCGAUUGUGAAAGCCCGAGGCUUAACCUCGGGUCUGCAGUCGAUACGGGCUAGCUAGAGUGUGGUAGGGGAGAUCGGAAUUCCUGGUGUAGCGGUGAAAUGCGCAGAUAUCGGGAGGAACACCGGUGGCGAAGGCGGUUCUCUGGGCCUUACCUGACGCUGAGGAGCGAAAGCGUGGGGAGCAAACGGG